rnacentral:tRNA from 1 species
GGCGGCGUAGCUCAACUGGUUAGAGCACUCGGCUCAUAUCCGAGAGGCUCGGGGUUCGAAUCCCUGCGCCGCUA